UACAGAGGUCUCAAGCGUUGUUCGGAUUCAUUGGGCGUAAAGGGUGCGUAGGUGGCGCGGUAAGUCGGGUGUGAAAUCCCGGAGCUUAACUCCGAAAUUGCAUUCGAUACUGCCGUGCUCGAGGACUGGAGAGGAGACUGGAAUUCAUGGUGUAGCAGUGAAAUGCGUAGAGAUCAUGAGGAAGACCAGUGGCGAAGGCGGGUCUCUGGACAGUUCCUGACACUGAGGCACGAAGGCCAGGGGAGCAAACGGG
rnacentral:rRNA from 1 species